rfam:Ornithorhynchus anatinus chromosome X5, whole genome shotgun sequence.
CCCCUCUCAGGGUCGCACCUGGAGAGUUUCCAGUACUCUACCAGACACAGCUAGAGGAGGGAGAGUCAAGCAGAAUGCAUUCCAUUCCUAGCUUGGCCAGUGGCUAGUGAAUGGAAGGCAAUCUGCUACAAAU